AGCCAGGACCGCAAGGCAGAGCUGCACUGUAGCUGCUACUGUUGGCUGCAGCCCCACAGCUAGCCCUUCAAACACUGAGUGAAAGGACAGUGAGAGCAAGAGGACAAGGGCUCGCAGGGGACUCUUUGAGGGUGAGGGGCUUCAGCAGUCAUGUGCAUGAACCCUGCUCCCAGGAAAACACCAGCAGAAAUACAGCCCAGGAGUCUGAGGACCCGCCGAUGGUGACCUAAUAAAAAGCAGAAGUUACAACCCACCUGGCACUGAGAAGACAGACAAAGAUGAGCUUAUACAUUCAUCAUUAGAGUGAAGACCUUGCGGAGUUCUGGCCUGUCACAAUAGGAUGUUUGCUCCCUGCUGCAAUAUCCCCAGGUACAUACCCAGCUGAAGGGGAUGGGAUGGUACGCCUGUGAGAUGCUACAGGCCAGGGGCUUAGAGGUUGUCAACUGGGGACAAGGGAGUUCAUGGGGACACUGUGAACACAGAAAAAAAUGAGGUAAGACAAAAGAGCCAUCAAUCACAAAACUUAAAAACUAAGAAUGACAGAGUCAAAAGGUGCCAGGGAGAAGGAAGGACAGGAGCAGAGGGUAGGAAGAGCCAGGGGAAUCAUUAGGUAGAAAGUGGAUAGGAACACAAAGUAGUGGAGAGUGGCGGGACAGAUAGAAGUAAUACUCACUGGGGCAAAGACAAAACCAGGUCGAGGGUCCAAAGGUGACUUCUCAUUUCCCUGAAAUCAAAGGAAAUAAAAGAAAUAAAGCUGGGCCAGGGGUCUAUUUUCAUAACUCAAUCUC